GACGAACGCUGGCGGCGGGCUUAACACAUGCAAGUCGUAGGGUAACCCGGAGCAAUCCGGGCUAGACUGGCGCACGGGUGAGUAACACGUAGGUAACCUGCCAUCGGGAGGGGGAUAACACACCGAAAGGUGUGCUAAUACCGCAUAAUGCAGCGGGGUCGCAUGACCAUAGUUGUUAAAGGGGAAACCUGCCUGAUGAUGGACCUGCGUCGUAUUAGCUAGUUGGUAGGGUAACGGCCUACCAAGGCAAUGAUACGUAGCUGUUCUGAGAGGAUGAUCAGCCACACGGGGACUGAGACACGGCCCCGACUCCUACGGGAGGCAG
rnacentral:rRNA from 1 species